rnacentral:rRNA from 1 species
CACCGCGGUUAUACGAGGGGCUCAAGUUGACACUUUUUUCGGCGUAAAGCGUGAUUAAGGACUAUAAUAAACUAAAGCCAAACACCUCCCAAGCUGUCAUACGCAAUCGGAGGCAGGAGGCCCCCCAACGAAAGUAGCUUUAAUAAACAAAUCUUGAAUUCACGACAGUUAAGGAA